GUCAGCCUGCCGCGUGAGUGAUGAAGGCCUUCGGGUUGUAAAGCUCUUUUGGCCGGGAAGAAAAUGACCGGACCCGUACCGAAUGCCCCGGACCGUUCCAUUACAGCACCCCCCCGUUUAUUUUAUGCCCCCCGCCGCUAUAAUA
rnacentral:rRNA from 1 species